AAAACCCCGCAAGGGGUUAGUAGAGUGGCGAACGGGUGAGUAACACGUGGGUGACCUACCUUCGAAUGGGGGAUAACGUCCCGAAAGGGACGCUAAUACCGCAUAACAUCCUGCCUUUGAACAGGUGGAGAUCAAAGCCGGGGAUCGCAAGACCUGGCGUUUGAAGAGGGGCCCGCGUCUGAUUAGCUAGUUGGUGAGGUAACGGCCCACCAAGGCGACGAUCAGUAUCCGGCCUGAGAGGGCGGACGGACACACUGGGACUGAGACACGGCCCAGACUCCUACGGGAGGCAGCAGUGGGGAAUUGUUCGCAAUGGGCGCAAGCCUGACGACGCAACGCCGCGUGGAGGAUGAAGGUCUUCGGAUUGUAAACUCCUGUUGCCCGGGACGAAAAGCUUCGACCUAACACGUCGAAGUCUGACGGUACCGGGUGAGGAAGCCCCGGCUAACUCUGUGCCAGCAGCCGCGGUAAUACAGAGGGGGCAAGCGUUGUUCGGAAUUACUGGGCGUAAAGGGCGCGUAGGCGGCCUGCUAAGUCGAACGUGAAAUCCCCGGGCUCAACCCGGGAACUGCGUCCGAUACUGGCAGGCUUGAAUCCGGGAGAGGGAUGCGGAAUUCCAGGUGUAGCGGUGAAAUGCGUAGAUAUCUGGAGGAACACCGGUGGCGAAGGCGGCAUCCUGGACCGGCAUUGACGCUGAGGCGCGAAAGCCAGGGGAGCAAACGGGAUUAGAUACCCCGGUAGUCCUGGCCCUAAACGAUGAAUGCUUGGUGUGGCGGGUAUCGAU
rnacentral:rRNA from 1 species